rnacentral:lncRNA from 10 species
CUCGAGCUGAGCUUUCGCUCACCAUCCACCACUGCUGUUUGCCACUGUCGCAGACCCACCGCCGACUCCCAUCCCUCUGGAUCCGGCAGGGUGUCCGCUGAGCUCCUGAUACGGCGAGACUCCCAUUGCCACUCCCGAUCAUGCUAAAGGCUUGCCAUUGUUCCUGCAACGUUAAGUGCCUGGGUUCGUCCUAAUCGAGCUGAACACUAGUCACUGGGUUCCAUGGUUCUCUUCCGUGACCCACGGCUUCUAAUAGAGCUAUAACACUCACUGCAUGGCCCAAGAUUCCAUUCCUUGGAAUCCGUGAGGCCAAGAACCCCAGGUCAGAGAAGACGAGGCUUGCCACCAUCUUGGAAGCGGCCCGCCACCAUCUUGGAAGUGGCUCGCCACCAUCUUGGGAGCUCUGUGAGCAAGGACCUCCGGUAACAUUUUGGCGACCACGAAGGGACAUCCAAAGCUUAUUGCCUAACGGUCCACAAUAAAACAUUCUCACUUUGGUAACUGUAUAAAAAUAGAAGUACAUUACAUAAAAAAGCUCACUAUCCUUGACAGAGAAGAAAGGACUUAGAACCGGAAUUCAACUUUGUGACCAUAAUCUUUGAGCACAGAGUAUUCAUUAUCCUGAGGCCGAGAAUUUCUGGAUGAAUGUGGUUAAAUCACUGGAACAAUAAAGCAAGACAGUUAAGAAAAGCACCUGGCACAAACUAUUCUACUUCUACUGUUCAUCGGUUGAAAUGGUCAUCAAAAUGUAAUAAGUUGAUCGAAGACUCUCAGAUAUUACUUUAGAAUAUAUUCCUUUUAUGAAAGCUGCAUCUGUAUUUGACUUGGUAAGAUAAUAAAUUCAAGAAAAGCCCAACUGGGACCUCUAACAUACUCUUCUACAAUAUAUGAAUUUUAUACUAAAUAAGACUAUAAUAUUCUCCUCUACAAGUGGAAACCACAUCCCCAUAGGAAAUCGAGAUGCUAAACUAUUAAUAGUUUACCCAGGUUUUCUCUGCCUACCAUGGAACCUUAAACUUCAUCACAGCCUAAGCACUGUAAAACAUUAUAAUUUAUGUUCAUAUAAAUGAAACUCUCUAGACAUUCUUCAUCUUGUCUACUACUUAAUGUUUCUGAUGUUUUUAAGACAGAGAAGUUCUCUGCAUUCAACCUGAGAAAAGACAAUGUCAAAAUAAAUUUAUAUAUCAAAUAAAUACUGUCAGAAGCAUUGCUAUAAGUCUGGUAAUGUUUUAAAAUGUUGUGCCAGUAA